UACGUAGGGUGCAAGCGUUGUCCGGAAUUAUUGGGCGUAAAGAGCUCGUAGGCGGUCUGUCGCGUCUGCUGUGAAAACUCGGGGCUUAACCCCGGGCCUGCAGUGGGUACGGGCAGACUAGAGUGCGGUAGGGGAGACUGGAAUUCCGGGUGUAGCGGUGGAAUGCGUAGAGAUCCGGAAGAACACCGGUGGCGAAGGCGGCAUCCUGGACCAACACUGACGCUGAGGAGCGAAAGCCAGGGGAGCAAACGGG
rnacentral:rRNA from 1 species